CUGAACUGCCCUCGUUGGAGGAAGCUCAGAAAGUUACAAGAGUCACAAGCCCCAUGGUUCUAAGAGUAAUAAGCUAUUGCUGAGGAGAGGAGACUAUUCUGUAGCCCUGCCUGCAGGUCUGCAGGGAGCUCCGUGGAUACAGCCCUCCCACUCCACCACCAUGCUGGAGAGGGAUUUGGGGGAAGGCAGCUGCCUCCGAGGCCUCAAGUUCCUGCACAACAAUAGACGGUGGGAAGGAAGAAAAUCAUGAAACCCUCAACAAAUGUUUCUUAACUGAAAAUCUCAGCCAUGUAAAUGUCAUGAUGCCUAAAAUUCCUGCUGCAGAAGGUCACAGCCAUGUCACAGCAUGAGGAUCCUGAAGGCAGAACCAGUGUGCUCCAACUUCUCCUCAAGUAACGAAAGCAGAUGAGAACCCAUCCAUCCCCUGGGAAUCUGGAGUUGGAGCUUGAAGCUGUUCCCAGGAAAAAGACUUUGAACCUUGCCCUUUGACCUGAAGUUCACAAAGAGCUUGGGCCUCAUGGUGCUUUCCAUGGAGCAUCACUGGGCUUAUGGAUCCAGCUAAGCCACCUGCCGCCAUCUGAAUCUUAAGCCCAUGUUGGUGCUGUUGGGAAGCAAAAGACCAUUAAGGGCAUGGUUCCAAAGAAGGCUGUGAGAUCAUAGUCUCACAUCUUUUCUUCUCUCAGCUUUGCUCCCCUGAUGUUGUUGCAUACGGUUUUUCUCUGCCACACGUUUUACAGACCUUAAACAGCAGUUAGACAGUG